AGCAGUCGCCACGGGAAUACAGAGGGUGCGAGCGUUAAUCGGAUUUACUGGGCGUAAAGCGUGCGUAGGCGGCUUCUUAAGUCGGAUGUGAAAUCCCUGAGCUUAACUUAGGAAUUGCAUUCGAUACUGGGAAGCUAGAGUAUGGGAGAGGAUGGUAGAAUUCCAGGUGUAGCGGUGAAAUGCGUAGAGAUCUGGAGGAAUACCGAUGGCGAAGGCAGCCAUCUGGCCUAAUACUGACGCUGAGGUACGAAAGCAUGGGGAGCAAACAGGAUUAGAUACCCCAGUAGUCCCUGUCUCUUAUAA
rnacentral:rRNA from 1 species